rnacentral:rRNA from 1 species
UACGGGGGGGGCAAGCGUUGUUCGGAAUUACUGGGCGUAAAGGGCGCGUAGGUGGCCAAGUAAGUCAGACGUGAAAUCCCUCAGCUUAACUGGGGAACUGCGUCUGAUACUGGAUGGCUUGAGAUUGGGAGAGGGAUGCGGAAUUCCAGGUGUAGCGGUGAAAUGCGUAGAUAUCUGGAGGAACACCGGUGGCGAAGGCGGCAUCCUGGACCAACACUGACACUGAGGAGCGAAAGCCAGGGGAGCAAACGGG